UCUCUAGUGGCCUAAGUGGUUAGAGUGACCGCCUCGGAUGCUGGAGGUCAUCGGUUCGAAACCCGGCCAAGUAAU